rnacentral:rRNA from 1 species
GGCGGCGUGCUUAACACAUGCAAGUCGAGCGGUAAGGCCCUUCGGGGUACACGAGCGGCGAACGGGUGAGUAACACGUGAGCAACCUGCCCCUGACUCCGGGAUAAGCGGUGGAAACGCCGUCUAAUACCGGAUACGACCCGCCACCUCAUGGUGGAGGGUGGAAAGUUUUAUCGGUCAGGGAUGGGCUCGCGGCCUAUCAGCUUGUUGGUGGGGUAACGGCCUACCAAGGCGAUUACGGGUAGCCGGCCUGAGAGGGCGACCGGCCACACUGGGACUGAGACACGGCCCAGACUCCUGCGGGAGGCAGCAGUGGGGAAUAUUGCACAAUGGGCGAAAGCCUGAUGCAGCGACGCCGCGUGGGGGAUGACGGCCUUCGGGUUGUAAACCUCUUUUACCACCAACGCAGGCUCCACGUUCUCGUGGGGUUGACGGUAGGUGGGGAAUAAGGACCGGCUAACUACGUGCCAGCAGCCGCGGUAAUACGUAGGGUCCGAGCGUUGUCCGGAAUUAUUGGGCGUAAAGAGCUCGUAGGCGGCAUGUCGCGUCUGCUGUGAAAGACCGGGGCUUAACUUCGGUUCUGCAGUGGAUACGGGCAUGCUAGAGGUAGGUAGGGGAAACUGGAAUUCCUGGUGUAGCGGUGAAAUGCGCAGAUAUCAGGAGGAACACCGGUGGCGAAGGCGGGUUUCUGGGCCUUACCUGACGCUGAGGAGCGAAAGCAUGGGGAGCGAACAGGAUUAGAUACCCUGGUAGUCCAUGCCGUAAACGUUGGGCGCUAGGUGUGGGGACUUUCCACGGUUUCCGCGCCGUAGCUAACGCAUUAAGCGCCCCGCCUGGGGAGUACGGCCGC